rnacentral:rRNA from 1 species
GUCCACGCCCUAAACGAUGCACAUUAGACCGAUGCGGCUCUGACGUCGUAUUGGUCGUAGAGAAAUUGCUAAAUGUGCCGCCUGGGGAGUACGGUCGCAAGGCUAAAACUCAAAGAAAUUGACGGGGGCUCACACAAGCGGUGGAGCAUGUUGCUUAAUUCGAAGCAACGCGAAGAACCUUACCCGGGUUUGACAUACACGGAUUAGUUGGCGGAAACGUCAAUGAGGCCCGCAAGGGUACAACGUGAACAGGUGCUGCAUGGCUGUCGU